GAUCCUGCCGGACCUGACUGCUAUCGGAUUGAUACUAAGCCAUGCGAGUCAUUGUAGCAAUACAAGGCAGACGGCUCAGUAACGCGUAGUCAAUCUACCCUAUGGACGGGAAUAACCUCGGGAAACUGAGAAUAAUGCCCGAUAGAACAUUAUGCCUGGAAUGGUUUAUGUUUCAAAUGAUUUAUCGCCAUAGGAUGGGACUGCGGCCUAUCAGUUUGUUGGUGAGGUAAUGGCCCACCAAGACUAUUACAGGUACGGGCUCUGAGAGGAGUGGCCCGGAGAUGGGUACUGAGACACGGACCCAGGCCCUAUGGGGCGCAGCAGGCGAGAAAACUUUGCAAUGUGCGAAAGCACGACAAGGUUAAUCCGAGUGGUUUCUGCUAAAGAAACCUUUUGUCAGUCCUAGAAACACUAACGAAUAAGGGGUGGGCAAGUUCUGGUGUCAGCCGCCGCGGUAAAACCAGCACCUCAAGUGGUCAGGAUGAUUAUUGGGCCUAAAGCAUCCGUAGCUCGUUUUGUAAGUUUUCGGUUAAAUCCAUGCGCUUAACGUAUGGGCUGCCGGGAAUACUGCAUAACUAGGAAGUGGGAGAGGUAGACGGUACUCGGUAGGAAGGGGUAAAAUCCUUUGAUCUAUUGAUGACCACCUGUGGCGAAGGCGGUCUACCAGAACACGUUCGACGGUGAGGGAUGAAAGCUGGGGGAGCAAACCGGAUUAGAUACCCGGGUAGUCCCAGCUGUAAACUAUGCAAACUCAGUGAUGCAUUGGCUUGUGGCCAAUGCAGUGCUGCAGGGAAGCCGUUAAGUUUGCCGCCUGGAAAGUACGUACGCAAGUAUGAAACUUAAAGGAAUUGGCGGGGGAGCACCACAAGGGGUGAAGCCUGCGGUCUCAAUUGGAGUCAACGCCGG
rnacentral:rRNA from 1 species